UACGGAGGGUGCAAACGUUGCUCGGAAUCAUUGGGCGUAAAGCGCACGUAGGCGGUCCGGCAAGUCGGGUGUGAAAGCCCUCGGCUCAACCGAGGAAGUGCAUUCGAAACUAUCGGACUUGAGUACUGAAGAGGAUGGCGGAAUUCCCGGUGUAGAGGUGAAAUUCGUAGAUAUCGGGAGGAACACCAGCGGCGAAGGCGGCCAUCUGGGCAGAUACUGACGCUGAGGUGCGAAAGCGUGGGGAGCAAACAGG
rnacentral:rRNA from 1 species